GGCCAUAUUAUUAUUUGUGGAGAUUUUAAUUGUACAUUAGAUACUGAAUUGGAUAUUAAAAGGGAACAAGGUACAAAUCCAUGGCAUUAAAUGGUUUCCUGAACUUCAGGAAACAUACCUUUUGCCAUCCCAGGAACUUUUUACUUACCUGCGAUUGAAACAUAUUUUGAUUACAACAUUUCUUAAGAUACAGGAAAAUACCAUGACUACACCAUUUGUGCAAAAGUGCAAAGGGAAACUUACUCAUAAUAAUGCGAUUUCCUUUUGUUAGACUACCCUUAUGUCCUUAGAAGAAGAGGACAUUGUAGAUUAUAUGAAAAAAAAUGGGAAAAAGAUUUAAACAGGCAGCUUCCGAGGGAAAACUGGCACAAGGCACUCAUAAUUACUGAAAGGGCUUCUAGGAGUUUAGCACAUUGGGAAGCAUAUUGUAAAUUAAACAUGAGAUGGUACAUGGUACCCACAAAAAUAGCACGUUCAUAUCCUAGGACACCUGCAGAAUGCUGGAGAUGCCAGGUGGAAACUGAUACCCUUUAUCACAUUUUUUGGGAGUGCCAAAAAAUAACCCCAAUAUGGAAUGCUGUAGAAAAGUUUUUUAGUUUAGGGCUAAGGGUAGAUAUUCCAAAACAACCGGAAUCAUAUCUCCUACAUAUGUUUUCGAUAACAUUUCUGGAAGAGGUAUUAACAAUAAUUAUACAAUGUUUAAUAGGGGUUAAAUAUCCCCAGAAUAUAAGAAGGAACUGUUGUAGAAUAUGGUCAGCCUUACGAUAACUUUUAGGAAAAGGUUAAGAAAUAAUUCAACGUAAUAAUACCGUUCCCCCCACUUUUCAUCCCAUCCUUGUUUAUUAUAAGCAAAUGUUUAUUAUGGUAAUGCUUAUGCAGUUACUUAUGACACCACUAUUUGGUUUAAACAGAUCCUUUUUAGAUUGGCUAAAGGUGCCCAUUUACAAAGGUGUAUAAUGAGUUGUAAACUUUAUGAAUCUUUAGACAUUAUUUAAAUUAGACUGUUGUACUUUCCACAUCAAACUGGCCUAACCUGUGUCACACUAAUGUAAUAGGGGCUCAGUGUGGAUAAGUUUUAUAUUCACGAGGAUUUACUAGAUCAUCUUAUUAGAUUAGAGAUUUAUUAAUAUGCAGUGGAUAUAAUUUGGUUGAAGUUCAGAAAACUUUUACAGGUGG